AUGAAAGCAAUUUGUACAUGUAGCUUUUGUCUAACACACUCUGGAAAAUCAUUAAUUUACCUUCACCACUAUAAUCCAGUAACAACACAAUUACACAUUUACACUCAUAACACAAUAGUAGAAAUUUCCAAACCACGUAUAACAUGUCAAAAUAUCUUGUAUGUUAUUCUAACAAUCUGCAGGUUCAACAAAAGAAGAAACACUAACAAAGAAAUUCAAUCACAAUCUUCCAAACUUCCAUUAACUUAUUAA